UGUAUUUGCCUUUGCAAGUUGAAAUGUGUUGUUUUUAAUGAAGAUCUCCCAUGACUUCCACUUUGUGGUGCCUCGAUUCGGCUGGUGCAGUAACAGGAACAAAUGGAAGUGCUGAUUUGCAUGAGGAGCUGGAGAUCCGUUCUAGCAAAGCUGCUCUGCCGAGGGCAGCACCUCGGUGUGCUCAGCACCGGAUCACAUUAAUCACAGGGUGCUCAGCCACCCUAUUCAGCCUCCUACAGAAAUACAGAAGUACAUUUUUAGCAGAAAAAAAGAACUGAACAGAAUGUUUAUUUCAAAGCUACAACACUGAGGCUUGAAAUCUCAAAAUGACACAUGGGUCUGGUUUGGAAAAGGGCAUGAGAUGAAAUGCCUUUGCUGAUUCUCCAGGUCCUUUUUCAUACUGUUUCUCUGAAUGAAAUACAAACUCAGCAGAACCUCA